rnacentral:rRNA from 1 species
AUUGAACGCUGGCGGCAGGCCUAACACAUGCAAGUCGAACGAGUGGCGGACGGGUGAGUAAUGUCUGGGAAACUGCCCGAUGGAGGGGGAUAACUACUGGAAACGGUAGCUAAUACCGCCUACCAUCGGAUGUGCCCAGAUGGGAUUAGCUAGUAGGUGGGGUAACGGCGCACCUAGGCGACGAUCCCUAGCUGGUCUGAGAGGAUGACCAGGCCGACUGGAAAGGAGACACGGACCAGACUCCGACGGGAGGCAGCAGUGGGGAAUAGUGGAGAAUGGGAGCAAGCGGGAUGCAGCUAUGCCGCGUGUAUGAAGAAGGCCGUCGGGUUGUAAAGUACUUUCAGCGAGGAGGCGUUACUCGCAGAAGAAGCACCGGCUAACUCCGUGCCAGCAGCCGCGGUAAUAC